AUCAUGGACAGCUAGAGAGGACAAGCAAUUCGA
rnacentral:sRNA from 1 species